AUGUACAUUCCUACAACGUUAAUGCACCAGAUCCUAUCAGAACUCUACAGUUAAGCAUGCUUGGGAUAGAGUAGUACUGGGAUGGGUGACCUCUCGGGAACUCCUAGUGUCUUACAUG
rfam:Picea glauca, whole genome shotgun sequence.